GGUGGCAUCUGGAGCAGUUUUCUUUUAUCCCUUAAUAGGUAUUCCAGGACUUAGGAGCUAGAGUAACUUUAUCUGCUUAAGAAUAUAUAUGACAUUAUUAUCUGAGAUGAGGAUGGAAACCCCUGCUUGUUUAUACAAUCCAUAUGAGUGAUAUGUUUUUUCUCAUCUUUUCACCUUCAGCCUAUGGAUGUCUUUUACCCAUGAGUUACUCUGCUUACCUGCCAACCAUUCCUGGAUAUCCUGUCCAGUCUUGAUGCAAUAUCUUCCAAAUCUCCUGCCACUGUCCUAUUGCUGCAGCAUAAUAGAUCCCAAGGUAGGCUCUUUAGUUGAACCCAUUAAUCCCUGAAACCACAUGAGAUACUACUACUACUACUACU